rnacentral:rRNA from 1 species
GGUUCGAUUCUGGCUCAGAUUGAACGCUGGCGGGUGCUUUACACAUGCAAGUCGAACGGCAGCACGGACUUCGGUCUGGUGGCGAGUGGCGAACGGGUGAGUAAUGUAUCGGAACGUGUCUAGUAGCGGGGGAUAUUAACUACGCGAAAGCGUAGCUAAUACCGCAUACGCCCUUCGGGGAAAGCGGGGGCCUUCGGGCCUCGCACUAUUAAACUGACCGAUAUCGGAUUAGCUAGUUGGUGGGUAACGGCUCGCCAAGGCGACGAUCGUAGCUGGUUUGAGAGGACGACCAGCCACACUGCUGGGACUGAGACACGGCCCAGACUCCUGGGAGAGCAGCAGUGGGGAAUUUUGGACAAUGGGGAAACCCUGAUCAACCAUCCCGCGUGUGCGAUGAAGGCCUUCGGGUUGUAAAGCACUUUUGGCAGGAAAGAAGCAGCUGCAGGAUAAUACCCGAUGCAACUGACGGUACCUGCAGAAUAAGCACCGGCUAACUACGUGCCAGCAGCCGCGGUAAUACGUAGGGUGCAAGCGUUAAUCGGAAUUACUGGGCGUAAAGCGUGCGCAGGCGGUUCGGAAAGAAGAUGUGAAAUCCCAGAGCUUAACUUUGGAACUGCAUUUUUAACUACCGAGCUAGAGUGUGUCAGAGGGAGGUGGAAUUCCGCGUGUAGCAGUGAAAUGCGUAGAUAUGCGGAGGAACACCGAUGGCGAAGGCAACCUCCUGGGAUAACACUGACGCUCAUGCACGAAAGCGUGGGGAGCAAGCAAGUUAGAUACCCUGGUAGUCCACGCCCUAAACGAUGUCAACUAGCUGUUGGGGCCUUCGGGCCUUGGUAGCGCAACUAACGCGUGAAGUUGACCGCCUGGGGAAUGCGGUCGCAAGAUUAAAACUCAAAGGGGUGAUUGACGGGGACCCGCACAAGCGGUGGAUGAUGUGGAUUAAUUCGAUGCAACGCGAAAAACCUUACCUACCCUUGACAUGUCUGGAAUCCCGAAGAGAUUUGGGAGUGCUCGCAAGAGAACCGGAACACAGGUGCUGCAUGGCUGUCGAUCGCUCGUGUCGUGAGAUGUUGGGUUAAGUCCUGCAAAGCAGGCACAACCCUUGUCAUUAGUUGCUACGAAAGGGCACUCUACAGCCUGAGACUGCCGGUGACAAACCGGAGGAAGGUGGGGAUGACGUCAAGUCCUCAUGGCCCUUAUGGUGGGGCUUCACGUCAUACAAUGGUCGGGACGGUGCGCAACCCGCAGGGGAGCCAAUCCCAGAAACCCGAUCCGUGGUCCGGAUCGCAGUCUGCAACUCGACUGCGUGAAGUCGGAAUCGCUAGUAAUCGCGGAUCAGCAUGUCGCGGUGAAUACGUUCCAGGUCUUGUACACACCGCCCCAUCACACCAUGGGAGUGGGUUUUUUUACCAGAAGUAGUUAGCCUAACCCGUAAGGAGGGCGAUUACCACGGUAGGAUUCUGACUGGGGUGAAGUCGUAACAAGGUAA